UUUCAGUCCAGGGACGAUUUGGAAUAAAUUAAAGCCAUCAAAAGGAUAUCACAGCUCACUUUGGUGGAAGGAUUUCCACGUCGCUUCGCGUUCGUCUCCGGGAGAGAGCCGAUUGCACCCGGCGGGCACAGAGCAGGGGAGGGAGCAGGCCGGGGGUGAGGGGGCCGGCCGGAGGGGCGGGCCGAGGCGGGGCGGGGCUCGCGGGAAGGGGCGGGGCCUGCGGCGGCUGCAGGUCCGCGGCCGGACGGUAGAGGCCUCCCUUCCGAGGCGGCGGCGCGGGCGCUGCCCGUUGGGGUCCGCUCCCCGGCGCGAACCCGCGCGUCCUUGCCGACGAGAUCCCCGCGCCACCCGGCGCAGUGUCCUUUCAAGCACGGAUGGCGGUGCCCAGUGGUCAAUACCCUCACUUUUAUCCAGUGUCCGCUUCAUUUAAACUUAAUCAACUCCAUCAAUGAGCUGGAACAGGGAAACGUCCCUGCGGUCCUAUUUCCUUUCCCUUUUCACCUGCUGUUUGACCGCCCUCACUGCAGCACCUUGGGCUUCUAAUGUGAGGAAAAACACGGAAUGACAAGUGUGGGAAAGAGCAAGCACUAAAUUACUGUCAGAAAAAUAAACGGAGCAGCACAGUGGUGCUCGGUGAUUUACGGGGGCAAUUAGUCACCACCCCACGGCGCUGCUGAGGACAGCACGGCAGCAGGCGCGUCAGGCCGGAGGAAGAAGAGGCUUUGCACUGCUCUCCAGACAACUUUUCAAACAACAAGAGAGGGUGUUUGAGCACAUUAGGUUCUAUGUCUUCAUUCUGGGUGCCCACCCUUCAUGUUAUUCAAACAACUUAAUCUGUAAAUGUAUUUUUAGCACAAUAUUAACCUGUUCUGUGUGCGUUAAAAAGACUCCAACUGCAGCUUUUUCUUUCCCACUGUCCAAAGUAGGUUUUUCCCCCAUCCCUUAAAAAAUAAACAAAAAAACCUUUCCCCAUUCCCAGAUUGUCCCCCUGAUGUGUGCCUUUGGUCUGUCUCAUCACUUUUUGCAUCUUGCUGCCACGUUCUGUCUUUGCUCAGAGCCACUGAGCUGAGGAAUUUAGUCUGCAGCUCCUGGGGGAUGCUUGGUGAGCUGGUACAAGGGGGGUGAUCCACGAGGCUGUGAAACACAGGGUGAAUGAAGAAGAUGCAUGAACUUUCUGAUAUUUGCCAAUGUGUUCUUUAACAUACUAUAUGUAGUGCCUCUGUAUAUGUACAUAGCAAAAUAAACCUGCUAAAAUAUAAUGAAUCGGUGUGCAUUCUUUAAUCGGAAUUCUUCUCUAUCAGGAGAAAUCUAGAAUGGAAGAUGGAGAGAGAACCCAGGAAAGACAAAGACUUUACUGACUAAAUGCCACGUCUGUGUACGGACAGUAGCAGGGCUGCUGAGGUGAACAAAUCAAGCUUCGUCAGGAGUUUAGCAUCCUUAUGUACUGUUACCUAAGAAUGCUGCCAUCUUAUAUUUCUGAAGCACUUUACAGUUUACAAAGGACAUUUGGAAUUCCUUUGCUCAUUUGAUCUUGCUUUGGCUUUAGUCAAGAACACCUGCUCAGUUUUGAAAUGUGUUCGGUGUAAAAAUAAUGAAGCCUGAGAGAGCAUGUGACUUCAUGAAGACAGUAUGAGGGUCAGCUGUCUCCAAUCCUGAGGUCGUCACUUGUCAAGAGGGGAUAAUCCCAAGGACAGCAGGAUCUGCUUCGUCACUUGGAUUUAGCAGUGAGAAACCCAUCAGGCCACUAAACAGUAACAAUGACCCACCAUUAAACACCCUGAGAGAAGAGCAUGAUGAGAAGAUUGUACAAGAAGAAUCCAGGAGCUUUUGCUGACAACGCCUAUGGAGACCCUGGCCACUGUGAGCUCCGCCCAUUGAACUGUAAUAAAAAAUCUCCGCCUCCCCAGAGAUGCUUGGAUGUGGGCACAAUAUUAAUUCAGACAAUGGUUUCUGCAUGGAUGUAGAGUGAAAAGAAUUUGGACUGUGGGGGUCAGACAGACCUGGCUUUGAAUUGUUAUUCUGUCACAUUUUUUGUUUUUGGGGAGGAAGAUUGUCACUGAGCUAACAUCUCUGCCAAUCUUCUUCUAUUUUUUCCGUAUGUGGGAUGCUGCCACAGCAUGGUUUGACAAGCAGUGUAUAGGUCCACACCCAGGAUCCAAACCUGCAAAACCUGGGCCGCAGAAGCUGAGCACGCGAACCCAACCACUACACCACCGGACCAGCCCCUCUGCCACUUCUUUGUAGUAUGCUUUGGUAACAUUUAAAAAUCCCUCUGAGCCUCAGUUAUCUUGUCUGCAAAAUGGAGCUAAUGCCUACACAGGGGCUUUUAAGAGGAUCAAGUGCACCAGUGUUUGAAAUGCACACACUGGGUACUUCUCUUUACGGAAAAAGAGCAAGAUGUGGGGCCAAAAAGGAACUAGUACAACAAAAGCUAUUCUCAAAAUUAUCCUUUGUCCUAGGCUCUUAACCUCAGAACGUGUGCUUAUUUCUGUAGCUCAGAUACCAAGGGAAAAGAGAGAGAGAGAGAGAGAGAGAAAGGCAGGAAGUCAAAUUCUGGCUCUCACACAAGAAAAUUCACUCUUGAUAAUUUUCAGACAGUGUUGCUCUCCUUCCUCAAACUCUGGCACCACAGGCAUUAUGCCAAAGAAGUCAGCAGCCUGGCAGAUAUUUCAAAUUGAUUCUGAGAGCAAACGACAGGCCAUUUGUGCCAUAUGCCACUGACACGUUAAUCUAGGCAAGGAUGCUAGGCACCUGGGGACAUCCAUGCUGAAAUGCCAUUUAGGCAGGGCACACCAACUCCAGUGGCAGGAGUUCAUCAGUGCAAACAGUGAGGGCGGCCAAGAAGAUGGAAGUGGAAAGGAGGAGUGAGAGGGAGGCACAGUGUCUAAGCCUGGAGAGAUUUUCUGAGUUGCAGACAGUUCAUUAUGCUUCUAGGAGAGCUGCAGAUUCAACAGAACAUCCAAACUGGGUAUUUACAGACUGGACAAAUGAGUGUCUGCUACUUUUGCACCUAUUAUACUACGUGGCCACCAACCCCGUGAACCUUCUCUCCAUUGGCAAAUACUGAGCGAUGCUCCAGUCCACUGGAAUGACCUUCUUUAUCCUGCAGUUUCACCGUAAAAAGCAAGCAGCUGCUGAGCGAUUCUAGGAGAUGCCCCAGUGUCAGACUUUCCAGGAUCCAAUUUGGUGGAAGCACUCUGGGCCUUUGGUCUCCAUCUCCCCUUUGCCCAGCCUUGUUCCUUGGUUACUGUGAGCAGUAACGAGCUUCCCCACCCCAGCGUGAGGACAGGCUCACAGCCAGCACAUGAAAAAGGCUGAGCUCGUGUGGGGCAACUACUUUAUUUCAUGGGCAGAUCACACAUCUCUUCUUUUCCUUCUUCUGUGAUGCAACUACACUAAUGAUUUUUUGUUUUUAAGUAGGAAUGAGGCAGUACUAUGGCUUUCUGGGGAAAAAAAGUCCACAGCAGGAUAACUGCAGCAGAUAUCAGAAAAGAAGCUCAGAACGAGAUGCCCGUCCGCUCUCGUCGUUGGCCCGAAUGAUUUUCCAGGAGCAAAAGGAUCAUUCUAAUUUAGGGGAUCUUAAUAAACAAAUAGAAUCACUGCCUUAAUUAUUUUCUUCUAGGCAAAAGAAACUUUAAAAAAUCAGCUCUUCCUGUUAACGUCAGUUAUUUUCCAUAAUCCGAAGAAUCUGAAAGAUCAUAAAAAUAAGACUAGGCCACCAGAGAAUGUAGGCAUCCCCCAGCGUUCUCCAUGGCGAGUAAUUCAGAGUUGUCCUUGUUGAGCGUGGGCCCUGGAAUCAGCCCUUGAUUGAAAUCCAGAGCUCUGUCCCUUCCUCACUGAGGACCAUUGGCGAGAUCCCGCCCCUCGAGCCUGUCUCCUCGUCUGUAAGCCUGCACAGAGUAACUCCAUCUUCCAGGGUUAUUAUGAGGAUUAAAAGAGAAGAUGUGUAGGUAGCAAGGAGCACACUUUCUGGCACGUGGUCAGGGUAUCUACAUUAAAGUGACAGGCCUGAUCUUGGGAACCACAUGUCACUUAAUUUUCAAUGGAGAGACGUUAUUUCUAUGAAUUCUUAGCAGAGACUAAAUAGAUGUUUUAACCCGCAAAUCACAGACGUUUUCUGAGCCUUCACCACUAGACCCAUUGGACUGUGUUAUGCAUUAUAAAAGAUUUGUAAGCAGUAGAAGAGUUGGGUUUUUGCUCAGGAGUAGCUUAAAGUCAGCCCUGAAGAACCGUAACCCCACUCUUAAUCCAAGACCUACACCACCAGCCUUUGCUGUACGCACCCAGGAAACCCAUCUUAAAUGAGAUGUAAACACUCAAGUGCAGGAUUCUCUUAACGGGUGUCCCUGCACUCGCCCCUGACCCCUACAGCCGACUCCUGGAGCACCGGGAGCUCUACAUAAGGAUUGAAACAAUGAGGAUUGAGAAAAGUUAUCCAGAGCCUGUUUCUUGCCUUCAAAGAGCUUACAAAAGAAUUGGGAAAAUGAUGAGGGGACAUGAAACUAUUAAGGAAAAUGAAGAGAGAACAUGA
ensembl:lncRNA